ACGCUGGCGGCGUGCCUAAUACAUGCAAGUAGAACGCUGAAGGAGGAGCUUGCUCUCUUCUGGAUGAGUUGCGAACGGGUGAGUAACGCGUAGGUAACCUGCCUGGUAGCGGGGGAUAACUAUUGGAAACGAUAGCUAAUACCGCAUAACAGUAGAUGUUGCAUGACAUUUGCUUAAAAGGUGCGAUUGCAUCACUACCAGAUGGACCUGCGUUGUAUUAGCUAGUUGGUGGGGUAACGGCUCACCAAGGCGACGAUACAUAGCCGACCUGAGAGGGUGAUCGGCCACACUGGGACUGAGACACGGCCCAGACUCCUACGGGAGGCAGCAGUAGGGAAUCUUCGGCAAUGGACGGAAGUCUGACCGAGCAACGCCGCGUGAGUGAAGAAGGUUUUCGGAUCGUAAAGCUCUGUUGUAAGAGAAGAACGAGUGUGAGAGUGGAAAGUUCACGCUGUGACGGUAUCUUACCAGAAAGGGACGGCUAACUACGUGCCAGCAGCCGCGGUAAUACGUAGGUCCCGAGCGUUGUCCGGAUUUAUUGGGCGUAAAGCGAGCGCAGGCGGUUAGAUAAGUCUGAAGCUAAAGGCUGUGGCUUAACCAUAGUACGCUUUGGAAACUGUUUAACUUGAGUGCAAGAGGGGAGAGUGGAAUUCCAUGUGUAGCGGUGAAAUGCGUAGAUAUAUGGAGGAACACCGGUGGCGAAAGCGGCUCUCUGGCUUGUAACUGACGCUGAGGCUCGAAAGCGUGGGGAGCAAACAGGAUUAGAUACCCUGGUAGUCCACGCCGUAAACGAUGAGUGCUAGGUGUUAGACCCUUUCCGGGGUUUAGUGCCGCAGCUAACGCAUUAAGCACUCCGCCUGGGGAGUACGACCGCAAGGUUGAAACUCAAAGGAAUUGACGGGGGCCCGCACAAGCGGUGGAGCAUGUGGUUU
rnacentral:rRNA from 1 species